GUGGUCUGAAUUAAGGCCAGCAGUUUGUUGUAGCUGCUGGCUUCGAAUAGGAACCUAAAGAGAAGACUGUGUAGUAUCUGUUGGUCACUUCAGAACUUUGGAAAUAUAGUCAUCAAUUCAUUAGAAAUUUGU
ensembl:snoRNA